rnacentral:lncRNA from 1 species
CUUUGUUCAGGGCUGUUUUGCCAUUGUCUGCGGGCAGUGCUCGGCACAUAAUAACUGCUCAGCAAAUAUUUACUGAACGAAUGAAAGUGAAAUGAAUACACUGGUAAAGCACAAAAUAGAGACUCAAUAACUACUAGUGUUUUCUUCUUUAAGAAUAUGGGUUUACUUUUGCAUGCGUUGUCUCCCUGUAUAACAUGGAAAUGAGCUAGACCACAGGUCGUGGAAUUCAGCAGUCCUGCCUGUUCAGGCCAAGCGGAUCUUUUCUGGAUUCUUUAACUUCUUCCGUAGAAGACUAUCUGAGCUAUUAUCAUCUGAAUGGCCUGGAGAAGAAUUUAGCUUCAGGUUCAAGAGCAUUUGUUGGUUGCACAUAUGCUCAAACUUUCCCAAUUAAAAUAGAAAGAAAAAUAGAGAAAGAGAAAAGAGUUCUUGACUCUGCCUCUUUUCUCAAAGCGGCACUGGCUCUGGGGCAGAGCAGAGCUUGGAACGGAAUAAAGGGAGAAGGACCCCCUAGAGGGUCUGAAUAGAGCUUGGAGGCCUCAGAAAAGUGGGUCUCCACUGUCUUCAUUCCCUUGCCACCCAGAAACGACAUACAUUGGCGAGAGAGCCUCACCGAUGAGGACAUACAGAGAAAGAAGGGGCCUUCUAGAACGAAGCUUGGGCUUCAUCCUGUGAUUGUGUUCUGAAAAAGCCUGAGCUUGGAUUGAGAACUGGGUGGCUUUUUAGGAAGUGCCUUCCCAAGUCCUGGGCUAAGAGUCACUCACCAUCAGAGGGACUGGACCAGGUACCCACAGAGCAGGUUGGAGUUACUUCCUGGAUACGGUCUCUGAGUGAACAGAAUCCUUGAGUUCCACGUGGUUGUCAGCUCACAGGUAAUGCUGGAUGGAUGCUAUGUUUCAGUGUAUUUUGUGCUUUUUUUAGUUCCUUCAACUUAGAUUCUUUCUUGUGUAUAAUAUGCCAAGCCACCCCUUGUCCCCUAAAGUCUCACUGAAACUCCCCUUCACUUGGUGACUGUAUUCACAGAUGCUCAUGGGACACUUCAAGACACUUGGAUUCUCUCCUUUGGCUUCCAGUACUCCUGCAAGAGUCGGACAUGACUUAGCGACUAAAUCACCACCACCACCACCACCACCACCACCACCACCACUCCCUAAGGCACCCUGGUGGUGCCUGUGACACUUCUGACACCCCUCUAUCCACUCAUUUGAGCACCUCCUCCUAGUCUACUAGGUGUCAGACACGACUGAGCAACUUUCAUCGCUUACUCCUAGUCUACUGCCCUGAAAUAUUCUCCCAGUGUUCUGCCCACCCAGAAUCUACAAAGAGCGAUUCACCAUCCUUUAGUUAUUCUUCCAGUGAGUGUAUUGUUAUAAAAAAUAGAACAGUCAGUUAUUUUACCAGCAUCAUGGGUUGAUUUGAGAAUAGCAGAGGAAUUGCAAUUCGGACAACAAAGUUAUGGCAAAAAUAUAGGUGAGCCCAACGGCAAACAAGCAUGACUUUAUAGAGAAAAGGAAGUUGGG